rnacentral:other from 1 species
AAAGCCCUGCUAUGUACGUGAUAAGCCUUGAAGUUUUUGCCAACACAAUUAAAAUGGAGCCUGAGCUCUGAAUGUGGCUUGCAUGCCUCCAUGUUGAGGACACAAAAAUCAUUCAGGAGGGCAUCCACCUGUUACAGCAGGUUCAAACUUUUGGGAUUCACGGCAUCAGUGGGGUUUUA